rnacentral:rRNA from 1 species
GAUGAACGCUAGCGGCAGGCUUAAUACAUGCAAGUCGUGGGGCAGCAUGAAGUAGCAAUACUUUGAUGGCGACCGGCAAACGGGUGCGGAACACGUACACAACCUUCCUUUUAGUGGGGAAUAGCCCAGAGAAAUUUGGAUUAAUACCCCGUAACAUAGCGAUGUGGCAUCACAUUGCUAUUAUAGCUUCGGCGCUAGAUGAUGGGUGUGCGUAUGAUUAGAUAGUUGGCGAGGUAACGGCUCACCAAGUCUACGAUCAUUAGCUGAUGUGAGAGCAUGAUCAGCCACACGGGCACUGAGACACGGGCCCGACUCCUACGGGAGGCAGCAGUAAGGAAUAUUGGUCAAUGGACGAAAGUCUGAACCAGCCAUGCCGCGUGAAGGAUUAAGGUCCUCUGGAUUGUAAACUUCUUUUAUAUGGGACGAAAAAAGGUCUUUCUAGAUCACCUGACGGUACCAUAUGAAUAAGCACCGGCUAACUCCGUG